UACAUGCAGUCGAACGAGAUUUAAGACUUCGGUUUUAAUGAAAGUGGCGCACGGGUGCGUAACGCGUAUGCAACCUACCCUGUACAGGGGGAUAGCCCGGAGAAAUCUGGAUUAAUACCCCAUGGUAUCCCGAAGUCGCAUGGCUUUCGGGAUUAAAGAUUUAUCGGUAUAGGAUGGGCAUGCGUCUGAUUAGCUAGUUGGCGGUGUAACGGACCACCAAGGCGACGAUCAGUAGGGGUUCUGAGAGGAAGGUCCCCCACACUGGCACUGAGAUACGGGCCAGACUCCUACGGGAGGCAGCAGUAGGGAAUAUUGGGCAAUGGACGAGAGUCUGACCCAGCCAUGCCGCGUGCAGGAAGACGGCGUUCUGCGUUGUAAACUGCUUUUAUCUGGGAAGAAAAUGCCCCUGCGGGGGAAAUUGCCGGUACCAGAUGAAUAAGCACCGGCUAACUCCGUGCCAGCAGCCGCGGUAAUACGGAGGGUGCAAGCGUUGUCCGGGAUUUAUUGGGUUUAAAGGGUGCGUAGGCGGCUGUUUAAGUCAGUGGUGAAAGACUCCGGCUCAACCGGAGCAGUGCCA
rnacentral:rRNA from 1 species